GACACGACUCUCGGCAAUGGAUAUCUCGGCUCUCGCAUCGAUGAAGAGCGCAGCGAAAUGCGAUACGUGGUGCGAAUUGCAGAAUCCCGCGAACCAUCGAAUCUUUGAACGCAAGUUGCGCCCGAGGCCAACCGGUCGAGGGCACGUCCGCCUGGGCGUCAAGC
rnacentral:rRNA from 1 species